UCCCGGUUGAUCCUGCCGGACCUGACUGCUAUCGGAUUGGUACUAAGCCAUGCGAGUCGUUGUAGCAAUACAAGGCGGACGGCUCAGUAACACGUAGUCAACCUAACCUAUGGACGUGGAUAACCUCGGGAAACUGAGAAUAAACCGCGAUAGAUCAUUAUGCCUGGAAUGGCUUAUGGUUCAAACAAUUUAUUGCCGUAGGAUGGGACUGCGGCCUAUCAGCUUGUUGGUGAGGUAAUGGCCCACCAAGGCUAUAACAGGUACGGGCUCUGAGAGGAGAAGCCCGGAGAUGGGUACUGAGACACGGACCCAGGCCCUAUGGGGCGCAGCAGGCGAGAAACCUUAGCAAUGUGCGAAAGCACGACUAGGUUAAUCCGAGUGAUUUCUGUUGAAGAAAUCUUUUGUCAGUCGUAAAACCACAGACGAAUAAGGGGUGGGCAAGUCUGGUGUCAGCCGCCGCGGUAAUACCAGCACCUCGAGUGGUCAGGAGGUUUAUUGGGCCUAAAGCAUCCGUAGCCGGCUACGCAAGUCUCCGGUUAAAUCCAGCUGCUCAACAGAUGGGCUGCCGGAGAUACUACAUAGCUAGGGAGCGGGAGAGGUAGACGGUAUUCUGUGGGUAGGGGUAAAAUCCACUGAUCCAUAGAGGACCACCAGUGGCGAAGGCGGUCUACCAGAACGCGUUCGACGGUGAGGGAUGAAAGCUGGGGGAGCAAACCGGAUUAGAUACCCGGGUAGUCCCAGCUGUAAACGAUGCAAACUCGGUGAUGCAUUGGCUUAUGGCCAAUGCAGUGCCGCAGGGAAGCCGUUAAGUUUGCCGCCUGGGAAGUACGGACGCAAGUCUGAAACUUAAAGGAUUGGCGGGGGAGCA
rnacentral:rRNA from 1 species